AUGACCCCAGGUCAGACGGGACUACCCGCUGAGUUUAAGCAUAUCAAUAAGCGGAGGAAAAGA
rnacentral:rRNA from 1 species